GAGAAGACGUGCCUGUUGUAAACACAAUCUUUUCCUUGUUUCAGUAAAGGGCACUCCCCUACUUAUGGUCUUUGGUAAGCACAAAGAAGUUGCUCACAGACUCCCCAAACACACACCAGAUGUUCUUGAUGUUUUCCUUCCCAUAAUAUACAUCCAAUCAGUUGUAUUCGUAAUAUACAUCCAAUCAGUCAUAUCCUAUUGACCUGUUGAUGCUAUGCCCACUUUUCUGCGCCCGGCCUGCCCCUGAGGAACUGCCAUGAGUUGUUGCAGUUCCUGGGAACCAUGCCUCCUGUCUUUCUCCUUGGACUCCUCCUGGCCUGCAGCCAUUCUGUUUCCCAAGUUAAGUAGAAAGUCAACUUCAGUGGGCACCCCUUAACGGGGUACCCUCUUGCCCCUGCAAGAGUUCUGUUUCUGUUCUUCACACUUGAAUAAAUCCUACCUCUUUGACUGUUGAAAAAAAAAAUGAGGAGGAAGGAAGGAAGAGAAGGAGAAAGAAAGGAAGAUAAACUUAGGUAAAGCCCAAUUCCAGCCUUCUCUUUGCCCCUUAAAAACCUCUCAGCAGCUCUCAGAAUAAAGCAGUAUUAUUUGACAAGACACAUAAAGUCCAUUGUAAUCUGGUGGCAGACGACUUCUGCAGUCUCAUCCCCUGCCAUUGAACCCUGUGCAAACCCCUCACUUGCCAAACCAGCUGCUUUCCUGUUUGUGAAAGAGCAGAGCCAUUCUCCAUUCUUUGUUUUGUCUUUAGCUUGGGACCCGGCACAUAGGCACUCAAAUUCUAGAGAGUAAAUAAUUACUUGCUCUUUUCUUCACGUUUUCAUUAAAUAUUUUAGGCUUUAUCUGAGAAUUUGUUUUAUAUUUUAAACUUUUUAAC
rnacentral:lncRNA from 1 species